GACGAACGCUGGCGGCGUGCUUAACACAUGCCAGUCGAACGGAAAGGCCCUGCUUUUGUGGGGUGCUCGAGUGGCGAACGGGUGAGUAACACGUGAGUAACCUGCCCUUGACUUUGGGAUAACUUCAGGAAACUGGGGCUAAUACCGGAUAGGAGCUCCUGCUGCAUGGUGGGGGUUGGAAAGUUUCGGCGGUUGGGGAUGGACUCGCGGCUUAUCAGCUUGUUGGUGGGGUAGUGGCUUACCAAGGCUUUGACGGGUAGCCGGCCUGAGAGGGUGACCGGCCACAUUGGGACUGAGAUACGGCCCAGACUCCUACGGGAGGCAGCAGUGGGGAAUAUUGCACAAUGGGCGGAAGCCUGAUGCAGCAACGCCGCGUGCGGGAUGACGGCCUUCGGGUUGUAAACCGCUUUCGCCUGUGACGAAGCGUGAGUGACGGUAAUGAGUAAAGAAGCACCGGCUAACUACGUG
rnacentral:rRNA from 1 species